UGUUGUUUUUCUGAAAAUCAAUUUAAGAACUGUUCAUUUUUAGUUGUUAAGACUUUAUCGGCUUACUGCUAUUUUUUGGAUUUUUCUUGAAUGCACUUUUCAGUUAACGAGUCAACAUCAAUUUCUUUUGCUGUAAAACGGUAAAAGGAAGGUGGCUUUAUCUUCGGAUGAAGUGUUUAUAGCCUUUUACUUCUGCAAUCGGAGAGAUUGAGGUCUGCAGCGUAGAUCCUUCGGGGUUAGAUGCUUCUAUGCUAAGCUAUAGUCCUAUAUAGACAACUUGUUGACUAUGUUCGAUCCUGUAACUUACUCGUAGAUACUAUUUUACCUAC
rnacentral:rRNA from 1 species